rnacentral:rRNA from 1 species
AGAUUGAACGCUGGCGGCAGGCUUAACACAUGCAAGUCGAGCGGUAGCAGGUCCUUCGGGAUGCUGACGAGCGGCGGACGGGUGAGUAAUACAUAGGAAACUGCCCAGUAGUGGGGGGAUAGCCCGGGGAAACCCGGAUUAAUACCGCAUACGCCCUUUGGGGGAAAGCAGGGGAUCUUCGGACCUUGCGCUAUUGGAUGUGCCUAUGUCGGAUUAGCUAGUUGGUGGGUAAAGGCCUACCAAGGCGACGAUCCGUAGCUGGUCUGAGAGGAUGAUCAGCCACAUCGGGACUGAGACACGGCCCGAACUCCUACGGGAGGCAGCAGUGGGGAAUAUUGGACAAGUGGGGGCAACCCGUGAUCCAGCCAUGCCGCGUGUGUGAAGAAGGCUUUCGGGUUGUAAAGCACUUUCAGUGAGAGGAACACCUUGCGAUUAAUACUCACAGGCUUAGACGUUACUCACAGAAGAAGCACGACUAACUCCGU